UUUUACUAAUAACAUGACGUAAAGUCAUGAUUUUAUUAAUGACACGGAGGCGAGUAUUAUUCCCACCCACCCACCCGUUGGGUAUGGUUUGGAUCUACAAUUAUGUCGGGGGGGGGAUCUUUUACCUCAAUGUAAGUUCACGUUUUUUCUCUUGAUUUAUGACAUAUAGUGGGGUCUAUUGACUUUCUGCUUAUGUGUUUUACAAUAGUUGGUGUAUAUAGUCCUACAGGCCAGAUUGUCAUGAUAUGUUACAUUCAGAUCCGGAGUUUGGAUUUUACCUACUAUUUCUCUGUUUUACAGCUUGAUUUCGUUGUGAUGACGUCUACCUUGUUGGAGAUUGUUCUUUCCUGAUGUGGAUAUUUGGUUUGGGUCUUCGGUUCAGAAGGCAAAGAAGAGGAAGUGGAAGUACUAAGCAAGACAUUUAUGGACUGUUCCUACUAAGCUGAUUGGCUGCCCUGUUACUAGGCAGAUCUGGU